rnacentral:lncRNA from 1 species
AAAUGGUAUCGUGGAGAACCGAGUUCGGGUUUCAAGUACCUGAAUUUGGGGUCGUCACAACCUCGAUCCCACAUUAUUCCGUCUCAACAACAUUUCAACAUACAUUCUAUACAACAAUGUCCUACAAGAACCAAUGGCUCCAAUCCCGAGUGACUACUACACAAGACAGCACACCAGAUAGAAUUUGAAGACUCGAAGACCAAGGGCAUGGUCCCAUCUUCCUGACUUCGUACAACCUCUAAUCUCAUUUCAUUGUGUAGCUCUCGACAACAGCACUCCGAAAAAGGUCUUAUACACCUCAAUCAGGUGCCCAGAUUGAAGUUCUGAAAGUUCGAACAGACAUCACGUUGCAUGCAUACACGUACUUUGAAAUGGCGGGACCCGCGGAGCCCGGCCUGCGGCUGUCGCAGGUACACCUGUGGCUCCCCCCCUUAUAAAUAGAGGGCUUUGGGUGGCCAUUUUGCAUAGAGAAACGGCGAGGAAGCCCUGUCCAAUUUGCUCUAUACACACUAUAAACUAAGUUCUUUCUCAUUUCAAAUACUUGUGAGCUUAUAUUUUGUUAUAUUUUACCGGUGGGAGCUGAAGUAUUCAUCCAUUUAAAGCUAUUGAAGUCUUCUUUGGUAGUCCACUGUAAGCUUCUUACAUUUCUUAAAGCCUUUCUCCAC